CCAGGGCUCUGACCAGUUUAACCUGAUGCAGU
rnacentral:piRNA from 1 species